AAUUAACCCUGUAACCAUCCAGAAUUAACCCUGUAACCAUCCAGAAUUAACCCUGUAACCAUCCAGAAUUAACCCUGUAACCAAACAGAAUUAACCAUGUAACCAAACAGAAUUAACCCUGUUACCACGUCGAAUUAACCCUGUAAUGAAUUAACCAUACAGAAUUAACCAUGUAACCAAACAGAAUUAACCCUGUGACCACGUGGAAUUAACCCUGUAAUGAAUUAACCAUGCAGAAUUAACCUUGUAACUACGCGGAAUUAAUGCGUAAAGAAUCAACAUUAAUCCAUAAUACGUCAAAUUCCGAGGUGAAACUAUGAGGUUGGCUGGAGAUAAUGAACAUGAAGUUGGCUGGAGAUAAUGAACAUGAAGUUGGCUGGAGAUAAUGAACAUGAAGUUGGCUGGAGAUAAUGAACAUGAAGUUGGCUGGAGAUAAUGAACAUGAAGUUGGCUGGAGAUAAUGAACAUGAAGUUGGCUGGAGAUAAUGAGAAUGAAGUUGGCUGGAGAUAAUGAACAUGAAUUGGCUGGAGAUAAUGAACAUGAAGUUGGCUGGAGAUAAUGAGAAUGAAGUUGGCUGGAGAUAAUGAACAUGAGGUUGGCUGGAGAUAAUGAACAUGAGGUUGGCUGGAGAUAAUAAACAUGAGCUUGGCUGGAGAUAAUAAACAUGAGCUUGGCUGGAGAUAAUGAGAUAAUGAACAUGAAGUUGGCUGGAGAUAAUGAACAUGAGGUUGGCUGGAGAUAAUGAACAUGAAGUUGGCUGGAGAUAAUAAACAUGAGCUUGGCUGGAGAUAAUGAGAUAAUGAACAUGAAGUUGGCUGGAGAUAAUGAACAUGAGGUUGGCUGGAGAUAAUGAGAUAAUGAACAUGAGGUUGGCUGGAGAUAAUGAACAUGAAGUUGGCUGGAGAUAAUGAAAAUGAAGUUGGCUGGAGAUAAUGAACAUGAGGUUGGCUGGAGAUAAUGAACAUGAGGUUGGCUGGAGAUAAUAAACAUGAGCUUGGCUGGAGAUAAUGAGAUAAUGAACAUGAAGUUGGCUGGAGAUAAUGAACAUGAGGUUGGCUGGAGAUAAUGAACAUGAAGUUGGCUGGAGAUAAUAAACAUGAGCUUGGCUGGAGAUAAUGAGAUAAUGAACAUGAGGUUGGCUGGAGAUAAUGAACAUGAGGUUGGCUGGAGAUAAUGAGAUAAUGAACAUGAGGUUGAAAAGUGGAGUGGCUCUUUAAGAGAUAUUUAUCUUCCUAUUUGUUGUACAUUUGAUGUAUUUGAAUGUUUUAUGUAAUGCUGAAAUAGUGUAUUUAAUCUAAUUAACGUAUUAUUCUUUUAGUAUCACAAAAAAGUUGUUAAUCAUAUUUUUGAAGUGAAAUUAUUCUAUUUUUUUAUAUCAUUUUGUAUAUGUCUGCACUUUAGUCAUUAAAAUAAAAUGAUUGAAUGAAAUAUUA